CCCUUAGAUGUUCUGGGCGGCCCGCGCACUACAAUGGCGUGGGCAGCGAGUGCCGAAGUAGAGUUUUCCGAGGUAUUCUUGCAAUGCUCGUUUUGAUGGGGAUAGACCCUUGCAACUGUUGGUUUUGAACGAGGAAUUCCUUGUAAGCAUGGUUUAUCAUCCGACGCUGAAUGCGUCCCUGCCCUUUGUACACACCGCCCGUCGCUCCUACCGAUGAGUCGUCCGGUGAAGUUCGUAGACCUCGUGAUCGCGGAUCACUGGGGGAAGCAAAAUGAACCUCGCGGUUUAGAGGAAGGAGAAGUCGUAACA
rnacentral:rRNA from 1 species